GUGCUCUCGGAUGCAUCCUCAGACGAUGAGAGGCCAGUGAAGACAGGGGAACCAACCAGGCAAUCAACAACAGACCAGUGCAGUCAUGAGGUGGAUUCCCCACUUGCCCUUGCCAUCAAUGUGUCUCUUGAAGACUUUGAAGCACAGUUUGGAAGUAUUUCUGCUGAUAUUGGUGAAGACUCCACCCUUCUUUGGAAUCCUUGUGACCUCAACAAUAUCCAGCAUUCUUCAUUGAACGAUGGACCUGCAUCAUCGAACAGUCUUACAGCAUCACCAGAUCAGUCUGAAAAAGAAGUCCUGUACGUGGAAUUAAGACGAGUAAACAUAGUUCAUGAUGUCCUUAAUGUCUUCAUGGAACCAAGAGUACUGAAUGUUAAUCUGAAAAUGGAGUUAAUAAAUGAGAAAGCUGUGGACAGUGAUGGUGUGUCAAGAGAGGUGUAUUCCGCCUUCUGGGAACACUUCUUGGAACAGUGUGAGGGGGAAGAAGAGAGAGUUCCCAGACUACGACCAGACUAUUCUGAGAAGGAAUGGAAAGCAGUUGGAAGAGUUUGGUUGAAAGGAUACUUGGACCACGGUAUCAUGCCUAUCAGACUGUCACCAGCUUUUGUUCUUGCAUGCUGCCAAGGAGUCAGCUCAGUGGAUGAAGAACUCUUGAUGACGUCCUUUGCCAGAUUCCUAUCAGUGACUGAGACACUUUGCAUUGAAAAAGCAAUGCAGGGCAACAUGGAUGAGAGUGAUGAGGAGGAAUUACUCGACCUCUUCUCAAGAAUGGGCGCACACUGCCUGCCCUGUAAAGAGAACCUAAGGGCUACCAUUCUAACAAUGGCACACAAAGCUCUUCUUCAAGAGCCGAAAUUUAUAAUUGAUUGUUUCCAGUCCAGUAUUCACACUGCUUUGCCAACUCCCAUAACCAAAGGCCGCCUAAUGGAACUCUAUGAGUCUAAGAGACCAACCAACAGGAAAGUGGCACAGAUGAUUAAACCGUCCAAUGAAACCUUAAAUACACAGGAACAGGCAGCCCUCAACCACCUACUACGAUAUGUCAGAAGCAUUGACCAAAAGAAGCUAGAAACCUUUUUGCGCUUCUGCACAGGGUCCACUGUGCUGUGCAAAGACAAAAUUGAGGUAACUUUUAAUAAAUUGUGUGGUUUAAGUCGCAGGCCUGUUGCACACACUUGUGGAGCUGUACUUGAAUUACCAUGUACCUACAGCACAU